GACGAACGCUGGCGGCGUGCCUAAUACAUGCAAGUCGAGCGCACAGAUGAGGUGCUUGCUCCUCUUACGUUAGCGGCGGACGGGUGAGUAACACGUGGAUAACCUACCUAUAAGCCUGGGAUAACUUCGGGAAACGGGAGCUAAUACCGGAUAAUAUAUUUAAACGCAUGGUUCAAUAGUGAAAGACGGAUUUGCUGUACCUUAUAGAUGGAUCCCCGUCUCUUUAGCUAGUUGGUAAGUUAACGCCCUCCAAAGGCAACGUUGCGUAGCCACCCUGGAGGGGUGUCGGCCCACACGGGAACGAGAAAACGGUCAAAACUCCAACGGAAGGAGGAGUAAGGGAAUCUUGGGCAAGGGGCGAAAGCCGGACGGAGCAACGCCGCGUGAGGAAUGAAGGUCUCCGGAUCGAAAAACUCUUUUAUAAAGGAAAAACAUGUGUGGAAUUAACAAUGCACGACGUGACGGUACCUAAUCAGAAAGGCACGGCUAACUACGUG
rnacentral:rRNA from 1 species